rnacentral:SRP_RNA from 1 species
GCCAGGUACAGUGGCCUGUGCCUGUAGUCCCAGCUACUCAGGAGGCUAAGGUGGGAGGAUUGCUUGAACCCAGGAGUUUGAGGCUGCAGUGCCCUAUGAUUGUGUCUGUGAAUAGCCACUGCAUUACAGCCUGGGCAACAUAGGGAGACCUUGCCUCUU